UUGAAUAUUGCACAAAUGUAAUAAUUGAACUGAUGUUAAUAUCCUAAGAAUCUAUUGUUGUAGAACAUAUUAUAUUACUAUAUAAUAAUUAUAUUAUAUUAUUAUAUUUAAUUAUAUUAUAUAAAAAUGUUGUUAAAUAUGCAAAAUACAAAUAUCCUAUGAAAAGAUAGGAGAAAUAUUGUGCGAAAGAAUAUCGAAAGAAUUAUAUUUCUCCUAAUUCUCAUAUUUCCCAGGAAUCUCAUGAUUCUUGAUAUAAAUAUGUGAUUAGAAUAUAUUAAAGUUUACGUCAAAUUUUAUUUAUGACAGAAACAAAUAUAUUAAUGAAUGUUACACCAGAAUAAUAGUAUGAAUUUUCGAAAGUAACUAUUACGUUCAUGUUUAUGAUUAAAGGAGCAAAUGGGAUAUAAAUUCAGAUAAAUAAUAACUUUAUCGAUUAUUCAAUCGAUUGAAUUUGUUGUAAAAAUAUAUUAUAUUCGUAGAGAUGUUAAUUUUAACAUGAAAUCUAGAUAUCAGUUAAUAAAUUUAAUCAACAGAGUUAAUUAAUAAUUAAUUAACAGAGUUAACUAAGUUUAUUAAUAAUGAGAUAAAUAAAACAAAUAUGAAAGCGAAUAGUGAAAUCGAUAAGAAUAAAUCGAUAUCGCUAUUAAAGAAAACAAAAAAUCUUCGACUGAUUCAAUAAAAUUCUUAUCUGUUUUGUGGAAGAUAUUCGGUAUCAAUGAUAAUUGAACUGAUGCUAGCACCCUAAGAAUCAAUCGUUCAUCGUGAAAUAAUAGAAAUAUUCCUUGCUGUUUGCGAUUCACAAAUAAUCUAUGAAGUAGAAGAUUCAAAUAAAUGGAUAUCUACAAUCAAUGAAGAACUUAAAUCUCUUGAAGAAAAUGAAAUAUGAGUUCUAGUUCCGAAAUCAAAUAAUGUUAAUAUUAUUUCCUAUCGCUGAAUUUUCAAAAGAAAAUAUAAAAUAAUAAGACAAUUUGAUAAGACAAUCAAACUCAUCAUGAAAGACUAUGUAGAAAAAGAUUAUAAAGAAACAUUUUCUGCAGUCGUGAAAUAUGAUAUUAUUAGAUUGAUGUUUUCACUGCUGUAGAUAGAUCUAAAAAUGAUAUAACAUAAAAAUUGCAUUUCUGUAUGGUAAUUUAAGAGAAACUAUUUAUAUAUAACAACUAAUUGAUUUCGAAUAUGUUUGUGUAUUACGAAAAAACUUACACGAAAUAAAAAAAAGUGCAAAACAGUGAAAUAAAAGAAUUAAUGAAUUUAUAUGCAACAUAAAUAUCAGAAAGAACAUCACUUGGAUGUAAUAAUGGAUAAUGGAUUUAUCAUUUAAACAAUAGUUUUGUACUGUGAUUAUUAUGUAAAUAAUCAACGAUUGCUAUAUCAAUUGAGAUAGAAUUUUAAUAGUUUUGUAUUUGGUAAUAAAAAAAGUAAUAUGGUUGAAAUGAAUUCUUGCAGAGUUUAAUUGCUUUUAAAAUUUGCCAACAUCGAUUUAUUGUGAUAAUUAUUUUUAAUUAUAUAAUUAUUUUGGUAAAAAAUCCAUAUUCGUGUAAAAGAACUAAACAUAUAAAUACAUAAUAUUAUUUUUCUUAUUCUAAAUAAAUUUAGAAUAAAUGAAAUAGAUAUUAGAUAUAUUAAAAUUGAUACAUAAUUAAUAUAUCCGUUUAUAGAAGUAUUACCAAAACAAAAAUUUCAGAAUUUAUCUCAGAAUAAUAUUAAAAAAAUAUAGAUAUGACAGGAAUAUAAUUUUAAAAUUAUAAUUAAAGAAGAAAUUGUUCAUCGAAUUGAGUUUAUAUGUAUAAAAAUGCAAUAUGCAAAUCUUGCAUAUUUACGUGUCAUUAGACCGUGAUUGCUAUUCCUUUUUGAAUUGCUGUAAAACGAUGUGAUAUAGUGAGCUCAGUAAAAUAAAUACAUCGGCACAACCCACAUCUAUAUAAUGUAGUUUAUUCUUAUUUCUUUUAUUAAAUGUAUUCUUUUUUUAUUUUAA